GUUCAAACCCCACACUAUCACCUUUUCUCCUACUUAUAAGGAGCUACGAUGGUCACUUCUUUCCCAUGCCUUCCCUUGACUUAUACCUUCCCUUGACCAAAACAUAACCAUUCCCAUCCUCUUCCUCCUCACUAAAAUAUUAAUCAUUCUUAUCCUUCUCCCAUCCCUCACUGCCUCUUAAUAUAACAAAUUUAUCAAGAAAUGGCAUCAACAUCUUGGACUUCGAGGCAGAACAAAUUGUUUGAACAAGCCCUUGCUUUAUAUGACAAGGAAACCCCUGACAGGUGGCAGAAUGUGGCCAAUGUGGUGGGAAGAUCAGUAGAGGAGGUUAAGAGGCACUAUGAGAUCCUCAAAGAAGAUGUUAAACGCAUUGAAAAUGGCCAAGUCCCAUUUCCUCGUUACAAAACCAACAACAGCACCAACUAAUUAAUUAGUCUUUGGUAAAGAACUACAACACAGAUAACUUAUUAUUCAUGGCCCUACCCUUGCUCGUUCAAACAACUGCCAUGUGCUUUGAACCAAAGGGCAACAAAAAAGACAAGCCAAAUUAUAAGAACAACAACAGCCAUGUGAUUUGACACAGAAAGCACAGGUUCUUGAUCCAGAGGCCACUAAGUAUGAAUAGCCAUUAGGAUUAUCAACAAUAAACAGUAAAUAGUGUAUUUUCAGUAGUAAAACAAUCCAACUGCACCGUACGUACCAUCUGAUCGCAUCAGUCUCCUACCCUGUUUUAAUUUCCUCCUUUUUUUGGUUUACUAAUUAAGGUUUGUUUAUCCAUGAUGUAUUAUCAAAUUAAUAUUGUACUUAAAGCAAUUUAAUCACUGUCGAAUUUAA